CGCAGGUUUCGGGCGUUUCCGCGAGCCUGCACCCGCCGCUGCACGCGCGCCUGCACCCACGCGAGAAAGGGAUAGGUUUCUGCUGCCGUCGCUCUCACCCGACUCGUUCACGCCGCUUUCCUCGCUCCCCUCCCUCUCCUGCGACAAUGGUGGAUCUCGCAGCCCCGCCGCCUCCGUCGACAUCGCCGGCGGGCAUCCUCGCCGCUGCGGAGAUGUCGGAGACUCGUCGCACUCGUUAGGUCAUUCACCACCUCUCCAAGCUCAACGGUGGAGUGUUCGUGCCCAAGGAUGGAGUGCCCCAGGAUGGAGCGCCCAAGGAUGGAGUGUGAGCAAAUAUGUGCUGAUUCACACCAAGCUGACCAUAUAUUAUUGUAUUUGGUCAGAAAAACCAUGCCCCUAUGUAUGUGAUGUAUGAAAUGUAACAUGGACCUUAUGUUAUGUUUCUUUGUUGGACUGUAAUAUGGACAAUACGGAUUUUUGGCUAUCUAAUAUAUGUGAACUCUAGGAUGUACUGAAUUGUAAUAUGAUCAUAUGGAUUUGUGGCUCUAUGUAUGUGAACUUUUAAGAUA